AUGGCCAUAAUGCGCUGAAACCGCUGGUUCUCGGCCGAUCACCGAAGUUAAGCAUCGUCGGGCGCGGUCAGUAGUUAGACGGGUGACA